AUGGGGGGCGCUGAGUCUGAAGGCAGAGCUGGGUUAAAAUCCGCAUCUCUAGCUCCCUGGGCAUGUGAGCCUUGCUCUCCCUUCUGUGGCCUCUGCUCUGCCCCAGGAGGACAGCCUGUAGGAAGAGGGAAUGGCUUCUGCCCUGACAGCCAGGCCCGGGAAGCUCUCCCUUCUGUGGUCUCUGCUCUGCCCCAGGAGGACAGCCUGGAGGAAGAAGGAAUGGCUCCUGCCCUGACAGCCAGGCCCCGGGAAGGAAUGUGCGAGAAUUCAAAGUCACUAGCCCAGGCUUUGCAGAAUCUACCCUCUCUUCAGAGACACACAAUAGUGGCUAAGCAAUGAAGCACAUUAUACACUCCUAUCAGAACAGCUGGAUCCUGACUUUUACUUCUGGCAUCCACUUCGCGUUCACACUUUCUGGGCUCUCAUUCCUACUUCAAAGUUCAUCACUGUUCAAUGAGAAAACAAAAGCCAAGGAAGAUUUUAGUUGUUUAGCUUUCUCACAGGUAUCCCUUUGUCAUCACCAUCACACUAUCAAUGCUGAAAUAUGGUCUUCACUAUUUUUUGAUCUUGCCUCCAAGCUAGAUUUUUAAAAUCUUUUGGUAACUUUUAUCACAAGAAUAAUUUGUUUCAGGCUUUGUUGUCUCCCACUACUCUUUUCUAAACUGCUCUAUUUCUUUUUUAUUCAUCCUGAAUUAAUGGCAAUUUAAGAUAUUUUUAUCAUCAUGAUUAGUUAUGCUUCAAGUCAAUCAGCCAUUAAAAAUUACAGCUGAAUACAAUGAUCCAAGAUAACUCUGAAGGACUCAUGAUGAACCCUACAGCCUCCAACUGUGAACCAGGAAGAGAUCCUGAAGCCCAGGUGGUAGAGCAGGCAAACACCAACACCUGGACCUCCAGUGCCUCAGUGG
rnacentral:lncRNA from 1 species